AGACGCCAAAGCGCCGUCUGUGGCGGCAGCUGGAUAUCCGGCGGCCCUCGUCCCGCCGGGUUUUGGGGUCGCUCAAACGAGCGACGGGGGCUGGGGGCUCCAGAUUCAGGUGUUCUUUCUCCAGAGCUCACGGGUUUUUGUCCGUGCGCGAUGCGAGCGAACGUCGCGGUCGAGGCUAGGGCCCCGAAGCCCGCAGUAACCCGCGUGUCCCGCCCGCUCCGGGCCCCCAGUGCCGCCGUCGCGGGCGGAGGCGCGAGUUCUGGGCCUUGGCGCCUUCGCAGCCGCAAGCGACAUCCUCUUUCCUAGCUAAAGCCCCAAACGCCCAGGUGGCCUCCUGGGAGAGCACGGCUGAGCCUCCGCCUUCAGAUUAGAACAGGCGGAGCCUCCAAGGGCGGCUUGGGCCCAGUGCCUGCUUAUCCUGCCCGCCUCUCCACACCUUCUCUUUCCCUGUCCGUUCGAGUCCAUGCCUUCCUGGAAAAGCCAAAGCCGCGCUCCCCUAAGAGGCCUGGAUGUGAAGGUGCGUGAGACGCCCUGGCCUCUGGGUGCAAAGGCCGGCGCCUGCCGCUUUCAACACUCAGGAGGCGCGUUUCAGCCCUGCUCGUCCCCGGCGCUGAGCCCCCACCGUUCCCAUCACCCGACUCCCUUCCCAGGAAUGAGGAGCACCCGGGAAGCUUCAACCACUACACGGAGGAGGCGCCAAGCCCAAACUCCUCCCCAGCCACCGGCGGGGUCAGUGCAGAGCCGCGCAGGGCACAGGUGAACCCUGGCACGCAGCCUCAGGGAGGGACAGGCUGGAAAUGACCCUGCCUGCAGCUGGGCCAUCAGCCCGACCACCUGCCCCCUGAGCAAACGUUGAUGCAGGUCGGGCGCGGUGGUUCAUGCCUGUAAUCUCAGCACUUUAGGAGCCCGAGGCAGGUGGAUCACCUGAGGUUAGGCGUUCACGACCAGCCUGGCCAACAUGGUGAAACACCGUCGCUACUAAAUAUACAAAAACUAGCCAGGCAUGGUAAUGGGGUGCACCCGUAGUCCCAGCUACUCGGGAGGCUGAGGCCCGAGAAUAGCUUGAACCCGGGAGGCCGAGCUUGCAGUGAGCGGAGAUCACCACUCCAGCCUGGGUGACAGAGUGAGACUCCAUCUCAAAAAAAUUAAUAAAAAAAAAACAAAAAAACGCUGAUGCUUUCUGAAAUACAUUUUAUUAUCGCUGUACCAUUCUGGGGCACUGGAGAUGACAGCUGAGAAGCAGAGAAGCUGGAGACCUGAAGCCUCCACCCUUGGCUGUGGCUGCCAAGAGAGGCCCCUGCAGAGGGAGCCCCAGGCCACACCCAGACACCACAGCCAGCUCACAGUGGGGCCAGAGGGCACAGGCUCCGCGGGGGGUGAAGGUCCCCAUUCCUGCCACCUCUCACAGACCAUGACCCACAGGGCUGGGGGCUUCCCCUGGGAGAAGGUCCUUCCCUCCCCAUGGCCCAGCCCUGGGGAAAGAAAGCAGAGAUCAACUCAGGGACUGCAGCAGGCUGAGGACAAGAAGGGAGGCGGGCUUGGGGUGAAGGCCCCCCCCUCGCUCGCAGAGAAGGGACACUACCGGCAGUAGAGGACAGGGAGGCAGGAUGACGGCAGUUAGAGACGAGGCGUUUCAGGUGAACUGUAGUGUUACUCUGGACGUGAGCAUGGCCUGGGUCAGUCGAAUGAAAUGAGCUGGGCCUCGCUGCCCUGUGCCGGCGGCCCCUGCGCCUGCGGCUGCUGGGCCACGGGGGGCUGCUGCUGCGGGGGACCACCGGAGGGUGCCAUCUGUGCAGGAGGAAAGCAGGCAUGGCCCUGGUCCUCCCUUCCCCAGCCCAGGGAGGAAGGCUUUUGUCCCAGCAGAGCCACAGACCCACAAGUGCUUGUAAUCCAUGUCCACUGAUUGCAGCUCACACGGCCUUUGCCUUUCAAGUAAAUUCACGGUUUUUCCUGUCUACA
rnacentral:antisense_RNA from 1 species